GCCGGUCGAACGUGUCAGCUCCUUUAAACAUGGGUCCGGCGGGGUCCAGGCCUGUGGGACACGGGUGGAAACGCCGGGUUACAAGGUGCGCAUGACAAAAAGCACAAGCAACUGAAUCGAAGGCAGAAGCAAAAAAGGAUUCCCUGUGACCUACCUGGAAGAUAAUCUCCUCAGCAGACUGGACCUGAGGCCUCCCUCCAGCCUGCUCAUACACGAGCAGACCUCUCAGAUGAACAUAGAGCAGAAAAUGUCUGCUGCAGUGCACCAGCUGGUUGGAGAGUCGAAACAUCUGGAGACAAAUCCUUGUGAUCCUUGUGUCCGCAGCAUUGCUUUUGUGUCAGUCAGAAUCAAACUUUCAUAGAGACAGCCACGAACAGCGUGGGUGACCCGAGGACGACCCCUGGCCUUAUUGUAUUUACACAAGCUGGAAAUGUGCUGAUGGUGAUACCGGCUAUAGUGGGGACAAGAGGCGUCUAACAUGGUGUGCUGUGCUCCAGAUGGCUACAUACGUACAGUACAUGCACAUGCUACAUACACAGGGCUAUGUACUUACAUUACAUACCUUGCUUUUGUCAUGUAAAAACCUCCAGUUUUGGUAUUUUCAUGUUUUAGUGCAAAUGGAAAUACUAACACAGACAUACUACGUACCAAAGUGUGCAAAGUAUUUUUUCUCACUUGUAAAUUGAAAAAAAAAAAAAAAAAA